ensembl:lncRNA
UUUUAAGCACCCCUAAUUUUGAGGACACGUUCAUCGUCCAUACAGAUGCCUCUGGAUCAGGGCUUGGAGCCGUGCUGUCCCAGGUCAGAGGAGGAGAAGAACACCCAGUGACCUAUAUCAGCCGACAAGGAAGCGGGCGCCACGUAGGAGGAGACGCCACAUAUUUCAGUUUGGAAGCCGGUUGGAAGAGCCGUAGUUUUUGACCUUUGUUAUUAAAAGGACCCUUUUUGUUUGCAUUUUCUGUCUGAGUUUCUUAUUUUACGCCCGAAUCUGGCCUCACUCCCCCUGGGUUACCACAACAUAUAUGAACAUGGUUGUUGCAUACUUACUUGUCACGGUGUGGUUCACUUCCUGUUAUAUUUUGUAAUUUUCUGCCACUUGUGUCCCCGGGUAACUUCACUUCCUGCCUUGUCAUGUCAUCCCCUGUGAUCGUCUAAUAGUUUCCACCUGUGUCCAAUCACCUGCACCUCCCUAGUGUAUUUAAACCAUGUGUGUCUGUUGUCACUUGUCGCGUCAUUGUCUUUCGCCACGCAUGUUCUUGUCUCCUGUUGUGGAUGUCCGUAGGUUCAUGCCUGUGUUUUUUUUGCCCCUUGGCCUUUUGGAUUUCGGAUCUAGUAACUAUUAAAGUCUUGUUUCGGAGAAGUCUGCAUCUGAGUCCUGCCUUCCACUCGCUCCCCUGAUACUUACUUAACUAUAUGUGUAUCAAACACCAUUGUAUUAAUUUGUUCUUGAUUUUUAUUUGAUAAUUUAGCCACUGCAAGAUGUAUCUUCCAUGAUGAAACAGAUGUUGGUAUAAUUAGUUUAUCUUUACCUAUGCGCUGUUUGACUAUAAAGAACACGUAAUAUACCUUUAUACAACCAAUGUCAUGAUUGUGUCACAGGAGGAAAAAAUGCAUGCAAACACAAAUCACCUGAGAAUAGCGAGCGAGAGUCACACAUUGAACAUGUUUUCUUGCUGUGUUUUUGCGUGAAAGAAUUGAUAUUGCAUACUUUUGAGGUGACAGCACAGCUUACCUUAUAUGUUAUUAUUAUGUUUAAACCAAUGAUAGUCUUUCUCGGGUAAAAGUGAGAAGGUGAACACAUCUUUAUUUAAAAAGGUAAUAAAAUAUGUGAUGAAAUAGGACAAAAUAUAUCUGUAAUAGAAUGAUACAAUCUAAAGGAUACUGCAACAUCCUGAAACUCAUUAUAUUUGUUUUUUGAAAGAACAAAGUACGUUCUAUAAUGCACGCUGUUUGCGAGUUCGUGCCCUGUUUCCGGAGAGAUCGGUCGUCGUUUGGAGACUUCCCUGUGGAUACCUGAGAGAGACUUUUCCCUUUGGAUUAUUUAAGAGUGAGUUUUCCUUUUUUUCGUUGAACUAUGAGUUCCCAUGGACUAAGGGAUUUUGAGUUGUUUUUCUUUUGUUUUCACCUGCCAAUUAAGGAGGCAGUUUUUGUUUGUUCCUCGGAAACCUUACGCUCUUGAGUUCUUGUGAAUGAAUAAAC